rnacentral:rRNA from 3 species
UGGGGAAUUUUCCGCAAUGGGCGAAAGCCUGACGGAGCAACGCCGCGUGAGGGAUGAAGGCCUCUGGGCUGUAAACCUCUUUUAUCAAGGAAGAAGAUCUGACGGUACUUGAUGAAUAAGCCACGGCUAAUUCCGUGCCAGCAGCCGCGGUAAUACGGGAGUGGCAAGCGUUAUCCGGAAUUAUUGGGCGUAAAGCGUCCGCAGGCGGCCCUUCAAGUCUGCUGUUAAAAAGUGGAGCUUAACUCCAUCAUGGCAGUGGAAACUGUUGGGCUUGAGUGUGGUAGGGGCAGAGGGAAUUCCCGGUGUAGCGGUGAAAUGCGUAGAUAUCGGGAAGAACACCAGUGGCGAAGGCGCUCUGCUGGGCCAUCACUGACGCUCAUGGACGAAAGCCAGGGGAGCGAAAGGG